rnacentral:rRNA from 1 species
AUUGAACGCUGGCGGCAGGCCUAACACAUGCACGUCGAACGAGUGGCGGACGGGUGAGUAAUGUCUGGGAAACUGCCUGAUGGAGGGGGCAAACUACUGGAAACGGUAGCUCAUACCGCAUACCAUCUGUUGUGCCCAUAUGGGAUUAGCUUGUCGGUGGGGUAACGGUUCACCUGGGCGACGAUCCCUAGCUGGUUUGAGAGGAUGACCAGCCACGCGGGAACUGAGACACGGUCCAGAGUCCUACGUGAGGCAGCAGUGGGGAAUAGUGCACAAUGGGCGCAAGCCUGAUGCAGCCAUGCCGCGUGUAUGAAGAAGGCCUUCGGGUUGUAAAGUACUUUCAGCGGGGAGGCGUUACCCGCAGAAGAAGCACCGACUAACUCCGUGCCAGCAGCCGCGGUAAUAC